UUUUUAUAAAGCCAAACUCGUCGUGAGGCGGGGUCGGAAAGCCACGGGUCUCUGGUUUGAUUGGAGAUGGCCGGGUUGCAUUG
rnacentral:ncRNA from 1 species